rnacentral:rRNA from 1 species
UAUUGGUCAAUGGGCGAGAGCCUGAACCAGCCAAGUCGCGUGAAGGAUAAAGGAUCUAUGGUUCGUAAACUUCUUUUAUAAGGGAAUAAAGUGCGCCACGUGUGGUGUUUUGUAUGUACCUUAUGAAUAAGGAUCGGCUAACUCCGUGCCAGCAGCCGCGGGAAUACGGAGGAUGCGAGCGUUAUCCGGAUUUAUUGGGUUUAAAGGGUGCGUAGGUGGUUUAUUAAGUCAGCAGUGAAAGUUUGUGGCUCAACCAUAAAAUUGCCGUUGAAACUGGUUAACUUGAGUAUAUUUGAGGUAGGCGGAAUGCGUGGUGUAGCGGUGAAAUGCAUAGAUAUCACGCAGAACUCCAAUUGCGAAGGCAGCUUACUAAACUAUAACUGACACUGAAGCACGAGAGCAUGGGUAGCGAACAGG